UGCUGACAUGGAGACAAGUCCCGGUAAACAUGCAGUGACCGGACCAAAACAAAGAGUGAAGGAAUAACAGUUCGGGGGACACAAAUAGGCGGCCGGUGGCCGGAUGCCGCCUAAUGAGGGCCUCUGCUUUAGACUAUGCAAAGUGACCAUCUAGAACUCUGAGUUGUAAACAAUCGUAGUGUUGGAGAAUUAUUUUCAGCUCUUGGCUCAUUUGGCAGUGUGGAGAUCGAAACACAAACAAGGGAGAGAGAGAAAUAAGAAUCACCACUCCCCCUGUCCUCUAACUGAGCAGAAACCAAAUCAAAUCUCCGAUGACUUUCUGUGAAAUUCAAAUUCUACCCCAAGCUGAACUCACCAGGGAGGGAAGGUUGAUAAAACGAAGGACGGCAGAAUGAUCGGAGGAGAGCUGAAUGAAAGAAAACAUGGUCGAGGCGAUGUGGAUGAUGAUGAUGUGAGCAACGGCAAAGCCCAGCGACUUGUCAGUCGGGACGAGAUGUGAUCGAUGCUUACAAAUCAUCUAUGAAAGCAAAGAGAAACAUGGAGAGUUAGAGUGAAAGAGUGGGACGAAAAGAGGAGGGAGGAUACAGGAUGACUUCACAGGGAGAUGCUUCAAGCUUCAGAGGCGAAGCUCCAUCUGAUCAAUAAUGGAUGCUGCUGUCUCCUACACUGCUGGAGAAGGGCCGGUACAUUAGGUAAUGCAGGGGCUACAUUUAACUGGAUGGGCUUGUUAAUGCGUCCCGCUGGGGAAACACCCUCCCAACGCCACCCCACCCUCUGAACCUCCCCCUUCUUGCAAUACACAUACACAUGAACUCACCCAUCAACACUCCCUGCCUGAUCCCACACCCAUCGCCAUGCAGUGCAACUUUUUCCACAGGAGGAGUAGUUGAGCAGCAUUCGCAGAUUAUGGAUCAGAGUAUAAUCUGAGAUGUUGGAACAACACCUAGAUGGCAUGAGAGAGUAAAAUGUGUCAGUGGGUAAUAAACCUUAAUAAACAGAUAAAUGAA